AGAGGGUCCUCUAGCCUGUUGAAAAAGAAAAUUUGGUGCUGACACAUCUAUACGGUCUGCAGUGUUUCCUGUACUGCCUUCCAGAUGGUUACAAGGAGGUGGAGAAAAUAUUGCAGAAAUCUGAGGGAACCGAGUAUUCUUUGCUACAGCGAUAUGGGAGGAAAGAUCUUUCAAGCUCUUCUCUGUCCCAAGUGAGGAGAUGAACAAAUGCAUUCUAAAGGCAUGAAGUGUUGGGCACUGCUUUCUUCCAGUUCAACAUGGAAUUAGUCCCACUGAGUGUACUCACAGGAAUGUGGAGCACUCUUGCAGCUGGAAAGGCAAAAUCUCAGUAAAGUCUGCCAGCUUGGAUGGGAUAAUAAUCAUAACACAAGAUUUCAGCAAAAAGCCUACAAACCUUGAAGUCCCCAUUGUGUGUUAUUUGGAGAAGCAGUUUUGAUAUUUGUGUCUCAGCUUGCAUGAGCAAUAUCACAUUACUGGAAAUUGUGUUUUCCUACAAUGACUCCCACAGGCAGAGGAUGGCUGAGCCCUGAGCAUAUGGAUCCUCUGUUUGAAUAAAAAUCAAUGUGAUGUGGGCCAAUACAUAUAUUGAGGUAAUUUCUGGAAGUAAUAUUGCAAAACAAAUGAACUGG